rnacentral:rRNA from 1 species
GAUUAUAAAUUUACUAUAAAUUUUAUAUUUUAUAUUAAUAGAAAUAACUUAAUUUUAAGUAGGUUUAACUGAAAAAAUUAUUUUUGUGGUAGUUUAUUUGUACUGUGAAGGGUCAUGUAUUAAUUAAUUAUAAGGAGAUUUAAUUUAUUGUACCUUUUGUAUCAGGGAUAAUUAAUUUCCUUUAUUUAUUUAAGUUUCCCGAAAUUAAAGGAGAUAUAAUUAUAUGUUAGUUAGUGUUUCAUAAUUAUUAAUAAUACAAUUAUAGUAAUGAUAAGUUAAUCGUCUUUAAAUAUCUGGUUUCUUAAGAGUUGAAUUUAAUUCAGAAUUAUUAAUUUUCAUUUUUUAUUUUAAUUAUGUUUAUUGUUUUAUAAUUUAAGAUUAUUGGGGAUAAGCUCAGUUUUUAUAUUUAUAACUUUUUUAUGUUGAAGCUUAUGUAGGCUUGGAAUCAGCCAUCAUUUAUUUCUUUAUAGAAAGUUCUUUUUUAUUUUUUAUUUAAUAAAGUUUAAUUUGAUAUUAAGUUUUUUUAUUUAAUUUUUAAUUAUUUGUAAUUAUGAUUGUAUUAGUAUAUAUUGAAUUUAAAAUAUAGGAAUUCGGCAAAAAUUAUAUUCGCCUGUUUAACAAAAACAUGUCCUUUUGAGUAUUUAUUUAAGGUUUAACCUGCCCAAUGAAUAGUUUAAUGGCCGCGGUAUAUUAACCGUGCUAAGGUAGCAUAAUCAUUUGUCUUUUAAUUGGAGGCUUGUAUGAAGGGUUGAACGAGAUAUAAUCUUUCUUUAUUUUAUUAUUAGAAUUUAUCUUUUUAGUUAAAAGACUAAAAUUUAACUGUGGGACGAGAAGACCCUAUAGAUCUUUAUAAUAUCAUAUUUAGAAUUGAUUUGGUUAUUUAGGGUUUUAUAUAUUUUAUUAUUUAAUUGGGGUGAUUGCAGUAAAUUUAUAACUUCUGUUUUAUUAAUUCAUUAAUGUAUGUUUUUAUGAUCCAUUAAUAGUGAUUUUAAGAUUAAGUUACCUUAGGGAUAACAGCGUAAUCUUUUCGGAGAGUUCAUAUCGAUGAAGGGGCUUGCGACCUCGAUGUUGGAUUAAAAUAAGUAUUAGGUGUAGCAGCUUAAUUACUAGGUCUGUUCGACCAUUAAUUUUUUACAUGAUCUGAGUUCAGACCGGCGUAAGCCAGGUCAGUUUCUAUCUUCAGUUUUUUAAUUAUGUUUUAGUACGAAAGGACCAAACAUAAGGAAUAAUUUUUGUUAUUUGAUUAAUAUU